rnacentral:rRNA from 2 species
UGGGGGAUAUUGCUCAAUGGGCGAAAGCCUGAUGCAGCGACGCCGCGUGGGGGAUGAAGGCUUUCGGGUUGUAAACCUCUUUCGCUAUCGAACAAGGCCCGCUUAGGGUGGGUUGAGGGUAGGUGGAGAAGAAGCGCCGGCUAACUACGUGCCAGCAGCCGCGGUAAUACGUAGGGCGCGAGCGUUGUCCGGAAUUAUUGGGCGUAAAGGGCUUGUAGGCGGCUUGUUGCGCCUGCUGUGAAAACGCGGGGCUUAACUUCGCGCGUGCAGUGGGUACGGGCAGGCUUGAGUGUGGUAGGGGUGACUGGAAUUCCAGGUGUAGCGGUGGAAUGCGCAGAUAUCUGGAGGAACACCGAUGGCGAAGGCAGGUCACUGGGCCAUUACUGACGCUGAGGAGCGAAAGCAUGGGUAGCGAACAGG